rnacentral:rRNA from 1 species
GACGAACGCUGGCGGCGUGCCUAAUACAUGCAAGUCGAACGAGAGCGACCGGUGCUUGCACUGGUCAAUCUAGUGGCGAACGGGUGAGUAACACGUGGGUAACCUGCCCAUCAGAGGGGGAUAACAUUCGGAAACGGAUGCUAAAACCGCAUAGGUCUUCGAACCGCAUGGUUUGAAGAGGAAAAGAGGCGCAAGCUUCUGCUGAUGGAUGGACCCGCGGUGCAUUAGCUAGUUGGUGAGGUAACGGCUCACCAAGGCCGUGAUGCAUAGCCGACCUGAGAGGGUGAUCGGCCACAUUGGGACUGAGACACGGCCCAAACUCCUACGGGAGGCAGCAGUAGGGAAUCUUCCGCAAUGGACGCAAGUCUGACGGAGCAACGCCGCGUGAGUGAAGAAGGUUUUCGGAUCGUAAAACUCUGUUGUUAGAGAAGAAUAAGUGCUAGAGUAACUGUUAGCGCCUUGACGGUAUCUAACCAGAAAGCCACGACUAACUACGUG